rnacentral:lncRNA from 10 species
AGUUGGGCUCAGGGAAGACUUCUGCUCUUUUUCAUUCUUCUUAACAAUCAGGGAGUCCAGGCAGAAGUGGCCUGUCCCAUCUCUUCUUCCAGGUGCUCAUUUAGACUCAGUUAACAUCUCUCCCCACCUCCUCCCUGUACCCCUCUUCUUUAACACACGAAGGACCUUCUGGAGACUUCUCUCAACUAAGCCCCACCAAGGGCUUACUUCUGUCUAUGGCCCCUUGGCUACUUGAUGAUUUCAUGUUCUUUAUUUUUUUUGGGCAAAUAUUCCUUAAUGUUUUUAAUUUUUAAUUUGUUAGGAUCAUUAUGUUUCAUAAUGCCAAAAACAGAUGGUCAACUUAGGGAAAAAACGUAUAAAGCACUUAGGAACAUAUGUAACAAUGAGUACUAUGAUGCAUAUUGACUGAGCACAUAAUACAUGUUAGGUACUCUCUCUCUCUCUGUGUAUUGCACUUAACUCUUACAACAACC